rfam:Felis catus isolate Cinnamon breed Abyssinian chromosome A3, whole genome shotgun sequence.
GCCUGCAUGGCUCAGUCGGUUAAGCGUCUGACUUAGGCUCAGGUCAUGAUCUCACGGUCCGUGAGUUCGAGCCCCACAUCGGGCU